UGCUCUUGCAAAGUAGGAAGCCUGUUUGCCAGUUGACAUAGAUGGUAGAUUUUUGAAAUGCCUAAGGUAUUAAAGUCAAGCCACCCAUACAGAAAAGGAGGACCCAGGUUCAAUUACCUUUCUCGUUUUUGUUAAUCAAGCUCAGCUGAGAAAAAUGGUCAGUAUGUUACAAUAUGCAUCAUCGCCCAAUAUGGACAAAGGCGAGCGUUAAAAAUCACCCUCUCCCUAUUGCGCAUUCCUUACAUGUUUUGAAGGCACAAUCUUCCAGAUUAUGUUGCUGAAUCUAUGAUAGCCUCCUCGGCUGGAGUGUCAGGUGCACUGAUGUACUGACCAUGAGAUGUAACAAACAACUGUGAACUGAGGUCUUCCAAAAUGUGGCAGUCUUCUCUGUACGAUGACUUCCUGGAGAACAGCUUAAGUAAAUGGCCGCAAUAUUGAACUCACCACAAUGAGACCAGUCCAAGAUCAACUAAGUGCAUACUUCUGUUCAUGAAAUCUAAACUCUUUGUCAGACCAGUCUCUUUGCCAAUUGAGUGUGUGUGUGUGUGU